rnacentral:rRNA from 1 species
AUUGAACGCUGGCGGCAGGCCUAACACAUGCAAGUCGAACGAGUGGCGGACGGGUGAGUAAUGUCUGGGAAACUGCCUGAUGGAGGGGGAUAACUACUGGAAACGGUAGCUAAUACCGCAUACCAUCGGAUGUGCCCAGAUGGGAUUAGCUAGUUGGUGGGGUAAAGGCUCACCAAGGCGACGAUCCCUAGCUGGUCUGAGAGGAUGACCGGCAACACUGGAACUGAGACACGGUCCAGACGCCUACGGGAGGCAGCAGUGGGGAAUAUUGCACAAGGGGCGCAAGCCUGAUGCAGCCAUGCCGCGUGAGUGAAGAAGGUCUUCGGGUUGUAAAGCACUGUCAGAGGGGAGGCGUUACCCGCAGAAGAAGCACCGGCUAACUCCGUGCCAGCAGCCGCGGUAAUGC